UGGGGAAUUUUCCGCAAUGGGCGAAAGCCUGACGGAGCAAUACCGCGUGAGGGGGGAAGGCUUUUGGGUUGUAAACCUCUUUUCUCAGGGAAGAAAACUGACGGUACCUGAGGAAUAAGCAUCGGCUAACUCCGUGCCAGCAGCCGCGGUAAUACAGAGGGUGCAAACGUUGUUCGGAAUUACUGGGCGUAAAGAGCGUGUAGGCGGCACGUUAAGUCGACUGUGAAAGCCCAUGGCUCAACCAUGGAAGUGCAGUCGAUACUGGCAUGCUAGAGUCCCGGAGAGGGUGGUGGAAUUCCCAGUGUAGAGGUGAAAUUCGUAGAUAUUGGGAGGAACACCAGUGGCGAAGGCGACCACCUGGACGGGUACUGACGCUGAGACGCGAAAGCGUGGGGAGCAAACAGGAUUAGAUACCCCCGUAGUCC
rnacentral:rRNA from 1 species